rnacentral:rRNA from 1 species
GAUGAACGCUGGCGGCGUGCCUAAUACAUGCAAGUCGAGCGAACAGACGAGGAGCUUGCUCCUCUGACGUUAGCGGCGGACGGGUGAGUAACACGUGGAUAACCUACCUAUAAGACUGGGAUAACUUCGGGAAACCGGAGCUAAUACCGGAUAAUAUAUUGAACCGCAUGGUUCAAUAGUGAAAGACGGUUUUGCUGUCACUUAUAGAUGGAUCCGCGCCGCAUUGGCUAGUUGGUAAGGUAACGGCUUACCAAGGCGACGAUGCGUAGCCGACCUGAGAGGGUGAUCGGCCACACUGGAACUGAGACACGGUCCAGACUCCUACGGGAGGCAGCAGUAGGGAAUCUUCCGCAAUGGGCGAAAGCUUGACGGAGCAACGCCGCGUGAGUGAUGAAGGUCUUCGGAUCGUAAAACUCUGUUAUUAGGGAAGAACAAAUGUGUAAGUAACUAUGCACGUCUUGACGGUACCUAAUCAGAAAGCCACGGCUAACUACGUG